rnacentral:rRNA from 1 species
GUCUAUGAAUGUUUUUACCAUCAUCGACUCGCGACUUCUAGGAGACGCGAUUCUUUGAGACAAAAGUUUAUUACAACUUUCAGCAAUGGAUCUCUUGGCUCUCGCAUCGAUGAAGAACGCAGCGAAUCGCGAUAUGUAAUGUGAAUUGCAGAUCUACAGUGAAUCAUCGAAUCUUUGAACGCACCUUGCGCUUAUCGGUGUUCCGAUGAGCAUGCCUGUUUGAGCGUCAUUAAAUUCUCAACCCCUCUCGAUUUGCUUCGAGAGGGCGCUUGGAUUGUGGAGGCUGCCGGAGACCUGUUUUUUCAGGACUCGGGCUCCUCUGAAAUGUAUUGGCUUGCGGUCGACUUUCGACUGUGCAUGACCAAGGCCUUUG